GACAGAGGUGCCGAGCGUUAGGCGGAAUCACUGGGCUUAAAGCGUGUGUAGGCGGAUGGGUAAGUACCUUGUGAAAUCCCACGGCUCAACCGUGGAACUGCUCGGUAUACUGCUCGUCCUGAGCCAACUAGGGGCGACCGGAACAAACGGUGGAGCGGUGAAAUGCGUAGAUAUCGUUUGGAACGCCGAUGGUGAAAACAGGUCGCUGGGGUUGUGCUGACGCUGAGACACGAAAGCCAGGGGAGCGAACGGG
rnacentral:rRNA from 1 species